CGGGAGAGGAGGUGUCAUAUUCGAAAAUGGUGGAAGGCGGCGGGGCGGCUCUUUUCAAGAGGACUGAUGAACACACUCCAAUGGCUGAUGAAGCCCUUCAUUGUAAAGCGUAAUGCUGCCAUCAAAGGUUUUGAAGCAGGGACUUGAGGGCAAAAUUUCUACCGCUCAAGUCAAAAGAAAGUGGGAGAGCCUAAAACAAAAAUAUAAAACCCGGGAUAUCCAACAAAGAUAUCGAGGAACUUCCCCUUGUGGUCAGUGAUGGCCUGCAGCUGAACAGAGUGGAACAGCUUCCUAUUACAAUAUCAUGGGGCAUCACU